CACCUGGAAUAUAGGAGCAAGAAAGUCUCAUUUUCCACUGAAAGAUGAGUGGAAGUCGUUGGUGGAAGUAGUCAUCCAGAUGCUAACUUGAUGGAGCUGACCCAAGGAACUAAAGAAACUUCUCCAACAGAUUUUUAUCAAAAUCUCUGUGUUUAGCCUCACUUUUACAUCCAACUCUAGAGGUACCUGGUGUCACAAAAUCUUGAUUCCUUUUGGUUCUGCAUUGGGGAUUCCAUUGCCCUCCAGGUUUUCUCCCUGCCAGCCUAGCAUUCAGCUUUCCAGUGUUUCUUAAGAUGGUUCCCACUUUUCCAGCUGCUCCUGUCUUGUCUCCUGUUCAGUUUUCUCCAGUUUAAAAUACAUGCAAUAAAAAUGCAUACACCAUAGGUCUCCACAUCAGUGACUUUUAACAUUCAUAUACACCCAUGUAAUCAUCACCCAAAAGGAGAUGUAGAACAUUCCCAUGGCCCCAUCACAUUCUCUCAUGCCAGGAGCUUUCCAGUCAAUCCCUGCUUCCCACCAGAGGCAAUCACGUUCUAAACUCGAUGACCACAGCUUACUUUGGUCUAUAUUUGCAAUGAGUAUGAAUGAAAAUAUACAAUAGGUUUUCACUUUGGAUCUGGCUUCUUUUCCAAAUCUGAUGUUUGUAAGAUCCAGCUAUUCCUGUUGCAUGUACCAGCAAUACAUUCCUUUUUGUUGCUGAAUAAUAUUCAAUAAGCUACAAAUUUUAAUAAGCUAUGAGUUUUUCUAUUUAUAUAUUCAGAGAUAUAUGAAUUAUCCACAGUUCAUGAUUCUUAUAAAAUGUGUAGGUAUUUAGGAGGAGAACUGCUAUGGAUUGAUGAGUGCUUAAGCUUAUAGAACAUUGACAAACGGUUUUUCAAAGGGGCUGUAUGAUGGUACAUUCACAGUAGCAAUGCAUGUGAGAGUCAGUUGCUCUGGAAAUGGAACUGUUUCUUUCAGAGCCAGAGCGCAUGGUUCUAGUAAAUCCAGGUGUAAAACUGGGACUGAUCCAUCAGGCCAAAGAUCAGAUGUUUGCUUCUUGUCCUUGUGACUUCUGGUGUUCAAAGUGGCAUGUUUUCAAUGGGGGUCACAACAAUAGUUCCAUACAUUGGAAGCUGAGAUUCUAUCUCAUGGCCAUUUCUAUCUCCUCACAUCCCUAAAUAACCAUGCAAAGAAGGAUUAUAAUUUCUCAGCAGGGGGACCAAUCUUUAUUCUCUCAAGGAAAUUAUGCCUUUGAAACACAAAGAAACCUAAAGUACAAUUGCAGGUCAGGUCCACUACAGAGCAGACUCUAAGACUUCAGCACCAAGAUCUUUAGAGUGCCUUUGGGAUCAAUAUCUGACUAAGGGAGGUAUAGGAAGCAGGUUUGAGCACAGAGAAAAGUUGAUCUGUGGUUUAUGCCCAAAGAUAGUCAGCCGAUCCUGCAGGGACUCUGGAGCUCAAAUGGCCUCAGGAUUGUCCUGAGUUCAGCAGAGAUGGCCAAGCUUUAUGCUCCAGCACUGAGCAGUCAUUGGAUGUGGGCUACACUCGGAAGAGACAUGGCCUUGGGUAAGGCAGCUCUCUGCAGCUGAAGGCUGUCUGCCUCCUGCAUUCCAGGGCCAAUGAGGCUUUUUCCUAUCACAUAAAAAUUGAUUCCUUGGUCACACAAGGUGUACUGUAGGUCCAGCAGUUCUCUAGGGCUUCUCCCUUCCAGUGAGUCCAGUAUGCUUUCAUCUUGUGGUUCCACCAUCUCAGUAUUAGCUUUAGCCCCUUUUCAGCCAGGCAACUCACUCCAUCUUCCUGUGUGCCUGGAGACUCUGCGUUCAGCCUCCCAGCUUGAAUUUUAUAAAGAAUAAACUUCCAUCUCUUAUUACAUUAGAAAUGACAAAGUUGUCUGAAUGAGUGAGAUAGGCAAGAAAAUUUGUGUUUUUCUGUUCUUUAUUGAGAAGUUCAGGCAAGCACCAAUUGUUUUUUACUUUAGCCCUCAAAUUGCCUGGUGCUUCAACUUUGGAGCCUUAAUAACAUUCUGUAAGGGCAGUUAAGCAAGAGUAGUACUAAGGGGAGGGGUGGCUUGCUUCUCUGAAUGUUUCCUUCUACAUCCAAAACUAUCACCUUCAAUUUCGAAAAUAAGUUUUGAAUUUGUCCACUUCUGUGCAUUUGCAAUAUGAACAACUGAGUCUAAGCAACUGUCACUCUCACUUUUAGAUGGUCUGUUUCUCCUUCUGGCACAUUCUCCACAGAGCAACUAAACUGAUUGUUUAAAUGUAUAAAUCACAUCUUCACUGCCGUUUUACACUUCCAGUGCCUUCUCAAUUCAAGUUGAUAGACUACCCAAUAAUGCAAUUAACAUGAGUCACAGGGCCUAAGUGGUCUGAUCUCCGCGUCUUCUUCUUCUGUGUGCCCCAGAUAUAAAUAAGCCUCUAUCGUAUCGCUGGAAAAACAAACUCACCAAGUUCUAUAUUAGGCCUAUUGCACUUACAGUUCCCUGCAGGUGGAAAAUCCCAGUAUGGACCUUCUUAUUUUUCUCAGCUGGGGCCCCAGAAGAUCUCCUGUUCUCUGAAGCCUUCCUGGACCAGCGGCUUAGGUUCAGGGCCUGGAGGUGUGCAGUCUGUGACCACCAAAAGGCACCUCCUGGCCAGAUGGAGCCUGGAGGAUUGGCUUCUGAACCCCCAGUUACAAAGGAUAAGGACCACAACCACAUCUACCAGUUGAAAGGUUCAGACCAAGGUUGACAAAGCCAGGGUGGGCAGUGGGUCCAAGCUAAGGUCCUGGGCUAGGAAGCAUCACUGCAGGCUAAAUUGGCCACAGGAACACUGGGCACAGAAAUGUGAGGCAACAGGCACCACAGCUGGAGGUCAUAGGCUGAGUGGGUCAUGGCCCUGGUGACACAGGUGGUGCCUCAGUCCAGAGAGCCCUCUCAGGCACUUGGAUCUUCUACGAGGUGGGCAUCUCCAGGCUGGCUUGUGCCCUGGAUUCCAUGGGGUCUGCAACUAAUCCCUCUUGCCUGGGUUUCCACAGCUCAUUGCACUUGGGUUACAGGAUGCCCAUGACAGCAUCCAGGGAAGAGAUCACAAUGGCUUCCUCACCACUGCACUGAGGCCACUUUGCUUAUCACAUGGUGGCAAAAUUCAUGGCCUCCUUGAAAUUGAAGCCAUGGCUGAAGUCAGCAUGGUGGCCAUAGGGAAGCCAUUUAGAUAUUUAGCCCCCUCCUUGAGUUUUCCCUGCAUUCAGCCUUAUCAACUACAACUACAACAAAAUAAAUUUUGUCUCUUCCCUUCCAUUAAUUAUAGCUCUAAAAAUUUUUGCAGUGGUUAACAGCACUAAUUCCAUAAAUUAUUGACUGAAAUGCCUCAAAUACCUCACAUUAAGGAAAAUGCUGGCUUGGGUCUAAAAUAGCUAACUAGUAGAUAGAGAAUUUUUGAAUUUUAUUUUAAGGAAGGAUUCAUUGCUUCCUUGUGGGUGUGUGUAAAACAAGACUGUUGAAUUAUAUCAAAUGCCUAUCAACAUCUAUAAACAUGAUCAUAUGACUUUUCUUCUGGUUGUAUUUACAGGAUAAAUUAUAUUCCUAGAUUUCCUUCUUUAACCCAUCACUGCCUUCCUGCAAUAAACCCCAUGUAGUCAUUGUAUGUCAUUCUUUUAAUUUAUUUAGAUUCUCUUAGCUAAUAUUUAAGUUAAAAUUUUUACGAUGUUCAUCAAUAAGUUUUGUCCAUCAUUUUCUCUCAUUCUGCAAUUCAUCAGGAUUUUCUGUCAAUGAUGUGCUUAUUUUAAAGCUUGAAUUUUUUCUCAUUUUAAAGGCCUAUUUAUACUUGAAAUAAAAUUUUCACACAAUUCCUCUGUGAAAUUGUCUAAUCCUUGGCAUUUUUGAAGAGUCAGAUCUUCCGCCCUCUUUCUGUAUUUCAUACACAGAAAUUUAUGUCUUAAACUUUCUAUGUAGUAAGUUAAUUUUUCUAAAAACAUACAUAUCAUUGGAGCUUUAUGUUGAUUUAUUAUUUUAGUUAUUCUGACUCAUUUUCUAUGUAUAUGCAUAUCAAUUCCUUCUUGCUACUUUCAUAUAAUUGAUCUUUUCCUAACUUGUAAAUCAGAAGCUUAAUCCAGUUAAUUUUAUUAUUUGAAUGUGAUGAAGAAAAUAAUUAAGGCUGCAAGUUUUCCCCUCAGCACUGUUCUAAAUGAAUUUCAUAUAUUCCUUUUUGUAUGUUAUUAAGUUUUAAAUUUAAAAACACUCCAGUAAAUGCUUAUUGUAUUCCAGGCAUUGGCAUUAACAAAUUACUAUAUUCACUCAUAGAACUGUCAACUAAACACAUGAGGUAGGUGCUAUCUCCAUUUUACAUUGAGGAAACUGAGUCAUUAAGUAAUUUUCAAGGUCACACUAGCUGGUAAGAGAAGCUGGAAUUCAAAAUCAGACUAUCUUGCUCUACAGUUCAUAUUCUUAAUAGAUAUUUAUUGUUUUGUGGAAAUUUGGCUUUUAUGAUUUGUGCUUCCCUCAAAUCUGAGAUCCAUUCAAUAAAAAAAUUUAACCUACCAGGAAAAGGACCUGUACAUUUUCUGACUUUCAAAAAUAUUUCAAAUUUUAUUGCAUGAUAAUUCAGAAUGUUUGAAUUUUUUUCAUUUUGUUUAAAGAAGAUAUUGAUAUUUUCUAUUCACACUGAUAUAUUGUCAAAUUUUGUGAUUGAUUCUUUGGCAGGAUAGGUUGUCAAGGACCUGACAUAUACUUGGGAUGCAGUGACCGUGGUGACCAUAGAGCCAAUACAAUAAGCCUUAGCAGUCAUAUUGUAACCGAGCUCACUCAAGCAAAGCUAUCUUUAGUAGGGACUUUCCCUUCCAGAGAGCAUGCACAUUUUGAUUUUACCUGUCCUCAAACUGAUCUUUUGCUC
rnacentral:lncRNA from 1 species